AAAUAGAUAUCAUCAUUUCUCUAAUGCCUCUGUUAUAUUUUUGGGUAAGAUGCCACGACGCCACAUUGUGUUGAAAAAAGAAACCAGAAUGGUGGGGGCUUCCCAAAUAAUGAUCGGUCUGCUCCACUGUGCUCUGGGAUAUAUCUGGUUACAUUUAUUUAUCAGACAAUUGCAGUGCUUUCGCAAAACCAUGUACCUAUAACCUUGAUAUCAGGAUACCCAUUUGGGGCAUUUCUGUUUUAUGCCAUAUCUGGAAUUUUAGCAAUAGAAGCAGAGAAGAAGCGUUCCCCAAAGCUGUUGACAUGUACCAUAAGGAUGAACACCUUCGGUAUUUUCUUCGCACUGCUUGGUCCAAUUCUAAAUGGACUUGAAAUAACAUUGUUUUUAAUAAAAGGUGAAAAGAUGAUAUGGCCAAAUCAAAUUUCACUAAUUCUUUCUGUGUAUUCGUGGAUGUUCUCCAUCUUGGAGUUUUUCUUGGCAAAUACAGUGAUCAGAUUUGGGCACCACGCAUUUCAUCAUGGCAAACAUCGCCCAUAAUGUUCAUGAUACAAGAAGGUCCUCU
rnacentral:lncRNA from 9 species